rnacentral:rRNA from 1 species
CCUACGGGAGGCUGCAGUGGGGAAUAUUGCACAAUGGGGGAAACCCUGAUGCAGCCACGCCGCGUGAGUGAAGAAGGAUCUCGGUAUGGAAAGCUCUAUCUGCAGGGGAGCAAAUGACGGUACCUGACCAAGAAGCCCCGGCUAACUACGUGCCAGCAGCCGCCGUAAUACGGAGGGGGCAAGCGGUAUCCGGAUUUACUGGGUGUAAAGGGAGCGUAGACGGUGUUGCAAGUCUGACGUGAAAGCCCGGGGCUCAACCCCGGGACUGCUUUGGAAACUGUCAUGCUGGAGUGCUGGAGAGGCAAGCGGAAUUCGUGGUGUAGCGGUGAAAUGCGUAGAUAUGAGGAGGAACACCAGUGGCGAAGGCGGCUUACUGGACAGUAACUGACGUUGAGGCUCGAAAGCGUGGGGAGCAAACAGGAUUAGAUACCCCUGUAGUC